rnacentral:rRNA from 1 species
UAAAGCUAAAGACCUUCUAAGCCGUCACACGCACACCGAAGGCACGAGACCCCAACACGAAAGUAGCUUUACUAUUACCCCUGACGCCACGAAAGCUAAGAAACAAACUGGGAUUAGAUACCCCACUAUGCUUAGCCUUAAACCUAGAUGUUAAGCCCACAAACAACAUCCGCCAGGGUACUACGAGCGCUAGCUUAAAACCCAAAGGACUUGACGGUGUCUCAGACCCACCUAGAGGAGCCUGUUCUAGAACCGAUAAUCCCCGUUCAACCUCACCACCCCUUGCUUUUCCCGCCUAUAUACCGCCGUCGCAAGCUUACCCUGUGAAGGGCCUACAGUAAGCAAAAUGAGUACAACCCAAAACGUCAGGUCGAGGUGUAGCUCACGAGGUGGAAAGAAAUGGGCUACAUUUUCUUCAACAGAAUAUUACGGACAACACUAUGAAACCAGUGUUUUAAGGUGGAUUUAGUAGUAAAAAACAAAUAGAGUGUGUUUUUGAACCAGGCUCUGAGACGCGCACACACCGCCCGUCACUC